rnacentral:rRNA from 1 species
AUGGCGGGCCACGACCUUCUCGCACGGGAAGCCCUUCCUCCUCCUCCUCCUCCUCCGCGGCCACCAAACCCAUGGGAGGUGCUUGGGCUCGCCUUCGCCGUGAUUGGGCUGGCUGCACUGAUCGUGCUGCUCAUUCUAGGAAGCGUCUACUUCGUCGUCUGGAUAAGCCGGUGCCAUAGCGACGGCGACGAAGAGGCGGUGAAGACGGUGGCCGUGGAGCAGCAACUGGCAGAGCUGCCCCCGGCACCGCACCACGACCCGCAGCUCACCAGUGGGUUGAUCCUAACCGUCUCCAACUAUGGUGUUUGCCACAGCGUGAGGAUGACAUGGUAUGAACAUGUACUUGGAUCAGGAUAUGAGAGGGACAACCCUUAUCACGGUUCACAUGUAACAAAUGCGGGUAGCUACUUUGGGCUUGUUGUUACUAUGGACGUGUAUGGAUACAAUCUCAUUCAUGGCCAAGUGAGCACAACAACAAUUACUGUUGGUAACCUGGAGGGCGACUUCAAAUCAAACGAGGACGCAAUUUGGGUUGGAUGGCAAGUUUACCCAAAUCACUACGGUGAUUCACGUACUCGGUUCUUCACACUUUGGACCAGAGACGCUUAUCGUACUACAGGGUGCUUUGACAUGGAGUGUCCUGAUUUUGAGCCAACAAGGGGAGAGGGACUAAAACCGGGUGCAGUAAUAGAUCCAUUGUCGCAUCAUAAGAUUACAAUCAAAGUGCUUCAAGACAGAAGAACUAGGGACUGGUGGAUACAUGCCGGUUUUAAUGGUUCUACACCAGUUAUUGGGCGUUACCCGGCAAAACUAUUCGAUAGCUUAUACAGGAAAGCAAUUCACAUUGGAAUGGGUGGUGUUGUUGGAGCGGUUGGGAGUACCCCAACCCCUCCGAUGGGCAGUGGGUACUUCCCCUCUCAUAAAUCUGCUACAAUCACCGAUAUUUCAUACAUUGGAGAAAAUGGCAAACUCACACCAUUUUCUCUUAAUACAAGGAAAGUAGAGACUAAGAGCAGUUGUUACUCCGUCUCACCUAUUACGAAUGCCAGGUUCUCUUAUGGAGGGCCUGGAGGUUGCUCUGCGCAUGCUUAG